UACAGAGGUCUCAAGCGUUGUUCGGAUUCAUUGGGCGUAAAGGGUGCGUAGGCGGCGCGGUAAGUCGGGUGUGAAAUCUCGGAGCUUAACUCCGAAACUGCAUUCGAUACUGCCGUGCUUGAGGACUGGAGAGGAGACUGGAAUUUACGGUGUAGCGGUGAAAUGCGUAGAUAUCGUUAAGGAAGACCAGUGGCGAAGGCGGGUCUCGUGGACAGUUCCUGACGCUGAGGCACGAAGGCCAGGGGAGCAAACGGG
rnacentral:rRNA from 1 species